rnacentral:rRNA from 1 species
GACGAACGCUGGCGGCGUGCCUAAUACAUGCAAGUCGAACGCUGUGGGGACGGGUGAGUAACACGUGGGUAACCUCCCAUCAGAGGGGAUAACACUUGGAAACAGGUGCUAAACCGAUACUGAUGGAUGGUCCCGCGGUGCAUUAGCUAGUUGGUGAGGUAACGACUCACCAUGGCCGCGAUGCAUAGCCGACCUGAGAGGGUGGUCGGCUACACGAGGACUGCGCAACGGCCCGAGGUCCUACGGGAGGCAGCAGUAGGGAAUCUUCGGGAAUGGACGAAAGUGUGACCGAGCAACGCCGAGUGAGUGAAGAAGGUUUUAGGAUCGUAAAACUCUGUUGUUAGAGAAGCGGUAUCUAACAAGAAAGCCACGGCUAACUACGUGCCAGCAGCCGCGGUAAUUC